rnacentral:rRNA from 1 species
GACGAACGCUGGCGGCGUGCCUAAUACAUGCAAGUCGAACGAGAGCGACCGGUGCUUGCACUGGUCAAUCUAGUGGCGAACGGGUGAGUACCCGUGGGUAACCUGCCCAUCAGAGGGGGAUAACAUUCGGAAACGGAUGCUAAAACCGCAUAGGUCCUUUAACCGCAUGGUUGAAGGAGGAAAAGAGGCGCAAGCUUCUGCUGAUGGAUGGACCCGCGGUGCAUUAGCUAGUUGGUGAGGUAACGGCUCACCAAGGCCGUGAUGCAUAGCCGACCUGAGAGGGUGAUCGGCCACAUUGGGACUGAGACACGGCCCAAACUCCUACGGGAGGCAGCAGUAGGGAAUCUUCCGCAAUGGACGCAAGUCUGACGGAGCAACGCCGCGUGAGUGAAGAAGGUUUUCGGAUCGUAAAACUCUGUUGUUAGAGAAGAACAAGUGCUAGAGUAACUGUUAGCGCCUUGACGGUAUCUAACCAGAAAGCCACGGCUAACUACGUG